UGAGGUAACGGCUCACCAAGGCUUACGGGUAGUUGGUCUGAGAGGAUGAUCAGCAACACUGGGACUGAGACACUGCCCAGACUCCUACGGGAGGCUGCAGUCGAGAAUCAUUGACAAUGCACGAAAGUGUGAUCAUGCGACGCCGCGUGGAGGAAGACGGCCUUUGGGUUGUAAACUCCUGUCAGCAGGGAGGAAGGAUGGAUCUCUUAAUACGAGUUUCAUUUGACAGUACCUGCAGAGGAAGUCACGGCUAACUCUGUGCCAGCAGCCGCGGUAAUACAGGUGGCGAACGUUGUUCGGAUUUACUGGGCGUAAAGGGUCCGCAGGCGGCUCGGUGUGUCAGAUGUGAAAGCCCACGGCUCAACCGUGGAAUUGCAUUUGAAACUGCCGAGCUAGAGUACUGGAGGGGAGAAGGGAACACUUGGUGUAGCGGUGAAAUGCGUAGAUAUCAAGUGGAACACCGGUGGCGAAGGCGCUUCUCUGGACAGAUACUGACGCUCAUGGACGAAAGUUAGGGUAGCGAAAGGGAUUAGAUACCCCUGUAGUCCUAACCGUAAACGGUGUGCACUAGACGUGGGAGGCUUUACCCCCUUCCGUGUCUGAGCUAACGCAUUAAGUGCACCGCCUGGGGAGUACGGUCGCAAGAUUAAAACUCAAAGGAAUUGACGGGGACCCGCACAAGCGGUGGAGCAUGUGGCUUAAUUCGAUGCAACGCGAAGAACCUUACCUGGGCUUGACAUAUAGCUGCAUACGAUCCGAAAGGAACGUAGCCUUCGAGGGUGCUAUACAGGUGCUGCAUGGCUGUCGUCAGCUCGUGCCGUGAGGUGUUGGGUUAAGUCCCGCAACGAGCGCAACCCCUGUGUUUAGUUGCCAGCACGUAAUGGUGGGAACUCUAAACAGACUGCUGGUGAAAACCAGAGGAAGGUGGGGAUGACGUCAAGUCAGUAUGGUCCUUAUGCCCAGGGCUGCACACGUGCUACAAUGGGUGAUACAAUGGGAGGCUAAGCCGCGAGGUGGAGCAAAUCCUCAAAAUCACCCCCAGUUCGGAUUGGAGUCUGAAACUCGACUCCAUGAAGUUGGAAUCGCUAGUAAAGGUAUAUCAGCUACGAUACCUUGAAUACGUUCCCGGGUCUUGUACACACCGCCCGUCACAUCAUGGAAGUCUGUUGCACCCGAAGUUGUUGAUCCAACCUUUUAUUAGGAGGAAGACACCUAAGGUGUGAUAGGUAACUGGGAUGAAGUCGUAACAAGGUA
rnacentral:rRNA from 1 species